rnacentral:rRNA from 1 species
AGAGUUUGAUCCUGGCUCAGAUUGAACGCUGGCGGCAUGCCUAACACAUGCAAGUCGAACGGCAGCGCGGGUAGCAAUACCUGGCGGCGAGUGGCGGACGGGUGAGGAAUACAUAGGAAUCUACCCUGUCUGGGGGAUAACGUAGGGAAACUUACGCUAAUACCGCAUACGACCGAGAGGUGAAAGCGGCGGACCGCAAGGCGUCGCGCGACUGGAUGAGCCUAUGUCCGAUUAGCUAGUUGGCGGGGUAAUGGCCCACCAAGGCGACGAUCGGUAGCUGGUCUGAGAGGAUGAUCAGCCACACUGGAACUGAGACACGGUCCAGACUCCUACGGGAGGCAGCAGUGGGGAAUAUUGGACAAUGGGCGCAAGCCUGAUCCAGCAAUGCCGCGUGGGUGAAGAAGGCCUUCGGGUUGUAAAGCCCUUUUGUACGGGAAGAAAUCCUGUCGGUUAAUACCCGGCGGGGAUGACGGUACCGUAAGAAUAAGCACCGGCUAACUUCGUG